AAUGCCUAAAACAACGAAAGCCCUACCUCUCUUUCAUCCUUACGGUUCCUAGACCGCGCCAGUGUGAAUUUAGGGUGAAUUGUGCAG
rnacentral:sRNA from 1 species